rnacentral:rRNA from 1 species
AUUGAACGCUGGCGGCAGGCCUAACACAUGCAAGUAGAGCGGAGCGGCUGACGGGUGAGUAAUGCCUACGAAGCUGCCUUGUCGCGGGGGAUAACGUCCGGAUACGGGCGCUAAUCCCGCAUCCUAUCAGAUGAGCCUAGGUCGGAUUAGCUGGUUGGUGGGGUAAAGGCCAACCAAGGCGACGAUCCGUAACUGGUGUGAGAGGCGGAUCAGUCAAAUUGGAACUGGGACACGGUCCGAACGCCAACGGGGGGCGGAAGUGGGGAAGAUUGGAAAAGGGGGGAAGUCCGGAUCCAGCCAUGCCGCGGGGUUAAGGAAGGUUUUCGGAUUGUAAGGCACUUUGAGUGGGGAGGCGUUACCAACAGAAUAAGCGCCGGCUAACUACGUGCCAGCAGCCGCGGUAAUUC